rnacentral:rRNA from 1 species
CAAUAGCGUAUACUAAUGUUGUUGCAGUUAAAAGGCUCGUAGUUGAACUUCUGGUAGGAGUGUCCCGGCCUUUUUGUUUUUACAAAUUGUAUGCUGUGUGACAUCUCUGGCCAUCCUUCUUCUUUGUUUAAAGAAGAUCUUUCACUGUAAAAAAAUUAGGGUGUUCAAAGCAAAAGUUUCUUUGGAAUAUAUUAGUAUGGGAUGAUAAGAUAGGCUCUAGAUGCUAUUUUGUUGGUUUGCACAUUUAGAGAAUGAUUAACAGGGACAGUUGGGGGUAUUCGUAUUUACAUGUCAGAGGUGAAAUUCUUGGAUUUUGGAAAGACGAACUACUGCGAAAGCAUUUACCAAGGAUGUUUUCAUUAA